rnacentral:lncRNA from 1 species
AUGCUUGUUACCGGUCCCUGCAGUCUGAAGAGAUCGGAGCUGCCAAGACAUCCUUCAUUCAUCGAGCAGUCCCGGCUUUGUCUCCUACCCAACCCCCAAAAUUUCAGCCCUGCGUCAGCCUCUGGGGCGGGCACCGGGCCUACCUUUCCCUCCGGCAUCCCGGGCAGGGCUGGGCUGAGCCCGGCUCCAGGGGCGAGGGCUCCACCGCACCUCGCACAACUCCCGGGGCACCAAGUUCGGCUUUGCGACCCGACCCUGAGGGAGAAGAGCGGCCCCGCGCAGACCUGUGUGCACCGCGGGGCUGCCGGGGGCACUUCAGGGAGGUGUCGCCGCUGCUCCCUCCCGCCAGCCCGGCCAGCCCCCAGCGCUGCCGCCGCGCCCCGGCCCGGCCCCGGCCCCGUCCCGCCCGCCCCGCCGCACCUGUGCCGGCGCUCGCCGCGCUCCGAGCCGGGCCGGGGCCGCCCUGCCGGCGGUGCGGGGCCGGCCCGGCUGCGCGGGCGCGGCUCCGUGCGCGGCUCCGGCGGGCGGGGGGCGCGGCGAGGACGCGCCGCUGCCGCUACCGCGGGCGGGAGCCGCUUUCGGUUUCAUGGCAACCCCCGGGCGGGGAGACCCCGGCGGCGGCACCGCCCCGCUCCGGGCAACGCCGGCGCUGCCGGGCUGGGGGAGGGAGCAGCGGCGUCCCCCCGCCUCCUUAGGGACGGCAGCGCCGGGACCGUGGCUGGGGAAGGCUCCCGGCAGCCCGUCCUCAGCCGCCGCUGGCCCCGGCUCGGCACACCGCCCGCAGCCUCCCGAGCGGCCGGCGAGGUGCGGGAAGGUCGGCAGAGCCGUGCCCCGCAGCCCGGGGAGUUUUCCGGACACGGCACUCGCUGCCCGCCCUCCGCCUGCCUCCAGGGAGGACAGGACUACUGGCUAAUGACCCGAGACGUGCCGAAGGGUUCCUUCCAAAGGCAGGCAACGCCGCCCUCCCCCAGCCAACAGUACUGAUGCGAGGGCUUUGCUGCCUGUUCCACAUCACCUGCUGCUGCACUUUGUUCUGUCUUUCAUAUUAAACCACUUCUAGGAAAACCAGUCUCUAAGGAACAUUCCAUCCUAGCACACGCACAAAAGCCCUAAGGCUAGCAAAAAAAGAAACAACUGGGUCGCGUUAUGUAGAUUGUCUUCAAAGGAGC